rnacentral:rRNA from 1 species
GAUGAACGCUAGCUACAGGCUUAACACAUGCAAGUCGAGGGACCGGCGAACGGGUGAGUAACACGUAUCCAACCUGCCCUUUACUCGGGGAUAGCCUUUCGAAAGAAAGAUUAAUACACGAUGCAAAGGAUGGUGAUGCGUUCCAUUAGGUUGUUGGUAAGGUAACGGCCCACUAAGCCUUCGAUGGAUAGGGGUGCUGAGAGGAAUGUCCGCCACAUUGGAACGGAGACACGGUCCAAAAUCCUACGGGAGGCAGCAGUGAGGAAUAUUGGUCAAUGGGCGGUAGCCUGAACCAGCCAAGUAGGGUGAAGGAUGAAGGCUUAUGGGUCGUAAACUUCUUUUAUAUAAGAAUAUGUAUUUUAUCAAUAAGGAUCGGCUAACUCCGUGCCAGCAGCCGCGGUAAUAC